CCGAAGCCCUGAUGAAGGGCGGCUUUAACUAUAAGAGUCCUAUGGUGGAAUAUGCGCUGCCAUAGUGAGGUAAAAGUCCUCCGUCAAGUGUCCGCUGCCGAGCGGAUGGAGAUGAAAAUCUGACUAAAUGCUGGAACGACUCAGAAUCCGACAGUACCAGCGAUGGUGACAAUCUGUUCGGUGGAGUUAAUCAGCAGGAAAGACUCUCGUUAGGACCAAUUACAAUUUUUAAAUUUGAAAAAAUUAUUGAAAAUUUAGAAUUGAAAAUUGAAAAUUCCGACGGGAGAAUCCUCACUCACUAUAUGUCAGAGUCCGGCAUUGUGUCGGGCAAGAGAUAGUGGCGUCUGCAUGGCGACAUGCAG
rnacentral:autocatalytically_spliced_intron from 2 species